UACGGGAGGCAGCAGUGAGGAAUAUUGGUCAAUGGGCGAUAGCCUGAACCAGCCAAGUCGCGUGCGGGAUGAAGGCCCUCCGGGUCGUAAACCGCUUUAAUCGGGGAGUAACGUGCGGAACGCGUUCCGGUUUGCGAGUACCCGGAGAAUAAGGAUCGGCUAACUCCGUGCCAGCAGCCGCGGUAAU
rnacentral:rRNA from 1 species